rnacentral:rRNA from 1 species
GGAAGGAUCAUUACCGAAUUGUCAACAAGAGUUGUUGCUGGUCCUCAAAUGGGGGCAUGUGCACGCUCUGUUCACACAUCCACUCACACCCUGUGCACCCUCUGUGGUUCUAUGGUCAGGGGGCCUGUGCCCUCCUGCUGUGGUUCUGCAUCUUUACACACACACACUGUAACAAAGUCUCAUGGAAUGUAUGCCGCGUUUAACGCAAUAUAAUACAACUUUCAGCAACGGAUCUCUUGGCUCUCGCAUCGAUGAAGAACGCAGCGAAAUGCGAUAAGUAAUGUGAAUUGCAGAAUUCAGUGAAUCAUCGAAUCUUUGAACGCACCUUGCGCCCUUUGGACAUUCUGAAGGGCAUGCCUGUUUGAGUAUCAUGAACACCUCAACUCUUUAUGGUUUUCCAUGAUGAGCUUGGACUUUGGGGGUUUUGCUGGCCUACAGAUCAGCUCCUCUAAAAUAAAUCAGCUUACCAGUGUUUGCUGGGUAUCCUGGGUGUGAUAACUAUCUACGCUCGUGGUUUUCCAUCAGAUAACCUUCACAGCAGUGGAGGUUCACUGGAGCUCAUAGAUGUCUCUCCUCAGUGAGGACAGCCCUUUGAAUGUUUGAUCUCAAAUCAGGUAGGACUACCCGCUGAACUUAAGCAUAUCAAUAAGCGGAGGAAAAGAAACUAACAAGGAUUCCCCUAGUAACUGCGAGUGAAGCGGGAAGAGCUCAAAUUUAAAAUCUGGCGUGCCUCUGGUCGUCCGAGUUGUAGUCUGGAGAAGUGUUUUCCGUGUUGGACCGUGUACAAGUCUCUUGGAACAGGGCGUCAUAGAGGGUGAGAAUCCCGUCUUUGACACGGACUACCAAUGCUUUGUGAUGCACUCUCAAAGAGUCGAGUUGUUUGGGAAUGCAGCUCAAAAUGGGUGGUAAAUUCCAUCUAAAGCUAAAUAUAGGCGAGAGACC